rfam:Schistosoma rodhaini strain Burundi genome assembly, scaffold: SROB_scaffold0004372
GCACUGCUGAUGAGUCUCAUAAUAGGACGAAACGGCCGUCCAGUGC